UCUGAGUUCCCCAGGAUGUGAUGAUUGAAACAGACAAUGAAUACACAGAGAUUCUCAACAGGGUGAGGUUAAAAAACUCUAAAGCCCGGCUGUUUUGCACAGCGGUUAAGGUACUCACUGGCGGUGGGUUCUAGCCCGCCUCCUCCUCCUCCUCCUCCUGUUGCAGCUUGUUAAGUCAGCUGUGACGAUGUUGCAGCCCUGCACGGAGCUCCCUUCUCUAACGCUGCUCUCUGUUGAAGGCUAUCAGAAGUCUGGGGCCGUCUAUAACUGUGUGACCUGCAAGUACGAUGGCUGCGGCUUCCCUCUGGACUGCCCCAUUGUGGAGAGGACGGUCCACGAGAAGAACAGGACAGCGCUGGAAUGCAGCGUUGACUUCGAGAUCCCGCGGGACGCGCAGUUCAACUGGAAUUACGUGAAAGAGGUGAAGACGAACAGCUUGAACCUGUUCAAAGUGGUGACCUCGGGUUCGGACCGCUGGUUCACGAUCUUGAGAACGCGCCGCAGUCAGCAGGGAACGUACAUGUGCGAGAUCUUCGACCAGGAGAAAUCCAUCGUCCGUCUCUUCUUCUUCCUCAGGGUGAUCUCUAAGAAUCAGAUUGCGGAGGCUGAGUUGCAGGAGCUCUUUGACUCGUCUCUUCACUCUGACUGGGAGGGAGCCGAGACCAAGGCUGAGGCUGAGGCUGAGACUGAGGCCACCUCCCUGUCCCGCCUCACCAGCGCCAUCGACUUCCUGCUCACCACCCCGGCAACCUGAGCCAGGACGUUUUCAUCUACGUCACUGUGUGCGUGUCCGCCCUGCUGCUGCUGCCUCUCCUGUGCACGGGGAUUGUAUACUGGUGGGCCACCAAGACCUGAAUCAGCCCUGGAAGAGCUCAGAGUGAACCGUCCCCUCCGAUUAAUACAAAACUCCACACAGUUUUAAAGGACUGUCAGCCAUGCCUGCUAUUUACAAUAUAAUACAAUACAAUGCAAUGCAAUGCAAUACAAUGAAACUCCUCUCUGCCUGUCUGAACACCUUCAUGUGCACAGAACUUCCUCUGGAGGGCGUUCUG